CAAUGCGGUUAUGCCUCUAAGUCGUGCCUCGACACGUGGGAGAUAUAGCCGCAUCGUGGGCGUUACAUUUUAAUUGGCUGGUCGCAAUGGCGGCGCAUCAAGGUGCAAGGCAGCGGCGUCAUGUUCAUACUACGGGAAAGGAAGAGCUCCUAAUAAUUUGUAUGCUCCUUGCCGUAGGCAAUUGAUUAAGUCAAAAGGCAACAAGAAGGCACGAUGGCGAUCAAGGUCCUUAUGUACGCCGAGUGCUAUCUUUUGUCUACCAUAUCGUAUGAGAGUAGAUCAGGAUGAACCAACUAAGUCAUGUACUAUGUAUGUAGAACAUAUCCGGUCUAUAUCUGAAUCUAUGAAUAAUUAUAUCGAUGAUGUUUUAUGUCUACAUAGCCUGCCUUUUGUAUGCUAUAUAAGCUCAAUGUAUCAUUGUACUGUUCUUCUUUGACUUAGCAUAUAUGCCCAUUUUUUGAUAAAUUUUCAUGUGACUACCAGUGUUGUAAACCAGAAUUCUCUUUCUGAGGAUGCUUAUGGCUGAACUGUUCAUUAUCUUUGUCAA